UGCUGCAAAAGAAAAUGAUAGAUGGAUUCGGGGUCUCUUGAAGUAUCUCACUGUUGAGGCUGGUUCUGGGCUUAUCAUUCUUGAUCCAGUGGACAUUUCUGGUGGAUAUACCUCUUACAAGGACAAGACAAAUAUAUCUCUAAUCUCCACAGAUAUAUAUAUAUAUAUAUAUAUAUAUAUAUCUCUAGGUGUUAUCUCCCUUUUACUCAAUUUGCAAAUUCAGUUAGCAACAACACUACAAUUUGGAAAUGCCGAUCCUCUUUCCCCUUGUGCUCAUUUUGAUCGCAUUUGGGCGACUCCUGAAGUUUUUUUUUUUUUUUUUUUUUUUGGGAAAGUGUUCUCCUUGAUCAUGUUUUAACCAUCAUCACGUGCACUAUAUGUGUAUGUUUGAUUGUGUUACAUGCUUGCAGAAAAUGGGCUCCUUAACAAUAUUACGUUUUGGAGGCCUAGAGCUCUUCAAAACUAUGUCAUCCUGGGAGACUGUGUUACCUCAAGGUAAUGAGAACCAGUAAAUCUGCAUUUGCCUCUCCUCCUCUGAAUCUCUGAUAAUGCAAUUCUUUUUUAUAUCUGAAUUCUUUCUCAAAUAGAAAUCUGUUACUAGUCUACUACAUCUUUUGUGUGUCUUGUUUGAGUUGUCCAAAUUUUACAAUUGUCCUUAAGAAUGUAUAUCAUAUGGCGUUUGAAUAAUGCUCUUGGGUCAUUUUAUGCACAUCCAUCUACUGAAUAUCCUCCAAAAGACACUUGUUUUGAUCUGAAUCAUCUUCUCCUUUGGAACUCAAGUUGGUACAAUUCUUCCUCAAUACAUCCUUCCCCUGAUCUUACUUUUGAGCAUGAGCGCGUGUAACCAAAUGCAACAUCAGGAUGGGAUAUCAUCAGAUCAAUUUCUAAAGCAACCUCUUAUUAUAUAUCAACUCCAAAUUUUGAGAGAAUCUGGUAGUGAUCUUCGACGGCCAGUUUCCAUAUAACGCAUCCAGGUUACUCAGUGCUGGGUGACUGCAUAACUGAGGGCCUAGAGCCUCCUCCCUUGGGUAUGAUAUUUAAGGCUGACAAUCCUGAAAUUUCAUCAAAUCCUGUGCAAUUUACAAAGGUGGCCCAUAUUGCGGUAAAAGGUCUGGAAGAAGCUUUCUUUUGGUAUCCAGUUGCUCCUCCUGGUUAUGCAUGCUACCUUAGGGUGUGUAGUGACACGACAUGAUGAAGCACCUCCUUUAGAAUAUCUUUCUGCUGUCCAAGGAUGGAUCUUGUGAGUGGAUCUAAUAUUGUUGAGAUUCCUAUCUCAAGAUCAUCAAGCUCCAAGGUUUCUCAAUGUUGGAAAGUUGAGAAUCAGGUAACACUUAGAGAUCGAAGUUGAGUGAUCUUAUUGAAUGUCUGCUCUUUUUGGCCUCUUGAAACUAUUUAUUUCCCUUUAGUUCUUACUUCUCUAAUUGGUGCACAUUUCUUGCUCGACCUGAGCUGAAAAAGCCUUCAACUUAUGUUGAAUUGGUGAUUCAGUGAUGCCCAAAACAAGAGACAAUGUGACAGCUGAGAUGAUGUUUUUCUAUUACCUUUUUGGACAGCUUAUGUGGAAUGGUUUUGAAGUUUGCCUAUUUUUAAUCCAUUUUGUGUUGUGUUAUAUAUCCAAGUGGUUUGUGUUAUUGCCCCCAGAUGACACCACUUUUUGAUGUGACAAUCACAAAUCUCAAACUUGCAACACAUGGUUGGAUGGACACAAUGAAUGCUGCACGCAUCAACUUUCAACACACAUCUAGAGCCAUUUGAAGGAUUCUAUCUAUCUUUAGCUGGAUUCUUUUUAUCAUUUCUCCAAUUUUAAUUUGUUCCAAUUCCAGUAAUAUUGUUUUGCCUUUUGCAGAUUUGAGACGUAUGAAACAAAUUAAAUCUUCAUUCAUCAUCAAAUCUUGGCAAAAGACUGUCGAUUCUUGGAGGGAACUUGAACAAAAAGCCAUCAAGUCAUGAUAGAUAGAUUAUGAUUCAAACCUUUCGUUCUUGUGUUGGUUUAUUUAAUUCAAUUAAAAAACAUUGCUGUUUAGCUCUUGGUGAUGACACAGAUCAGAUCAUCAAAGUAAAACUUUUUGAGCAUGGGAUGAGUAGAAAAUAAACUUGGAUGUGAUAUAUAUUUGAAAAAAGUGGAAGAGCACUCAGAUGCAGUUGAAUUACUACCUCAGCUCCAAGGUUUUCUGAUAGAUGAAAUUAUAUGUAGUUCCAGUUUUAGUAUUGUUUAAGCAUGUGAAUGUGAAUUUAAGGCCAAGCUUUUAUGGUCUAGAUUAGUGUACGUCUUAGCUUGUUUGGAUCUAAUGUCUUUGUGAAUUCUUGUUCAAGUAAAUAUGCAUCCAAAUUCUGAUACUACUCUAUUAGAUAUGAUGUACAUAAA